CUGGCGACCGGCGCACGGGUGAGUAACACGUAUCCAACCUGCCGAUAACUCGGGGAUAGCCUUUCGAAAGAAAGAUUAAUACCCGAUGGCAUAAUUAGACCGCAUGGUUUGAUUAUUAAAGAAUUUCGGUUAUCGAUGGGGAUGCGUUCCAUUAGGCAGUUGGUGAGGUAACGGCUCACCAAACCUUCGAUGGAUAGGGGCUCUGAGAGGAAGGUCCCCCACAUUGGAACUGAGACACGGUCCAA
rnacentral:rRNA from 1 species